UGGAUGGAUGGGAGGCCGAGAGCGUCAGAGGCAAGGACAGUUAGUUGACGGACGACGAUCUGUCGAUAUGACAAGUGGCAGGCCGCUGCUCGGCGCGUUGCUCGUCGCCCACUGCUUCGCCGUUUGCACCCUCGCCGCCAAUAUCACCCUUCCCAAGAACAACCAAGCGUGGAACGAAACGUGGACGGACAAGCUGAGGCAACACCUGCUCGCCAAGUAUGACAAGCUCGCGAGGCCCAGCCAACACUGGAACACGACGACCGUCAGCGUCAAGCUCAACGUGCAGACCGUCGAGGUGGCCGAUCACGACAACGUCAUGGCCGCCAACGUGUUCGUCAUCAUGACGUGGAACGACGACAAGCUGAGAUGGAACUCGUCCGAGUUUGGCAACCUCACCCAGGUAAACCUCGGGGCCCACGAAAUCUGGCUGCCCGACAUUUACGUGCUGAAUAGCGCGUCCCACGGUAUGGAGUACUACGGCGAUCGGCACUGCAUAGUCAACGAGCUGGGUCUCGCUAUUUGGGUCACGCCCACGAUAUUUCACGGCUACUGUCACUUGGACUUCAAGUACUGGCCCUUCGAGAUGAACACGUGCAGGCUGAGCUUGAGCUCGUGGACGUACGACGGCUCCCAAGUGGACUUGAAAUUGCUCGGUUCCGGCGUCGACCUCAACGAUUACGUGGUCAUAAACGAGUGGGUGGUGCAAAACGUCACGCCGAUACGCAGGGAGGAAGUCUUCGACUGUUGUCCCGAGGCCUACAUCACCUUGGACUUUGAGUUCGAGCUCGCCCGAUCCUCCGAAAUUUACUACCACAUCGUCUUUGUACCCAUCAUUCCAAUAGUUUUCUUGUCCCUCAUUACGUUUUGGCUGAGGCCACAGAGCGAGAUGAAACUCAUCGUCAACGCCUGCAUAAUCCUCAUCGUCGUGCUGUACCUCAUCUACUUUGGCCACAAAAUACCCCCAAGGUUCGACAGUAUGCCAAUUAUCGUUAGGUUUUACAGUGCCUGUCUCUGCCAAGCGACCUUAUCGCUGGUAGUUGCAACCAUUGUGAUAAAUAUCGAUAAAUUUGCAUUUUGCACGAGCAUCCCGCGGCCGAUGAGGCGUCUCCUGCUCGGCAAGCCUGGACGUUACUUGGGCCUCAAUCACAUUGUCCAAGAGAUCGAGUCGCAGAGAUCGGCAGGGGAGCAGGAGAUGUGCGAAAAUCACUUGAUGGAUAUAACGAUAUCGACGACGUCCUUUGCGAGUUUCACCAACAGCCAACAACAGCUGUUUACUUCGCCGAAUCACAAAACCGUCACGAAGCUGGAGUGGAUGCUUCUAGCGACGGCGAUUGAUAGACUGGUGUUUUGCUUGUUUUGCGUGGUCUACCUUAUAUUCGCCAUCAGUUGGGUGCACAUGAAAAGAUUUACCUUCACAAGCGAUAACGAGCCCUACUGGCACAGCUAGUGGGUGUACGACAACGAUCAUCCAUUGUUGAAAAGAGGAAAAACAACGCACACGCGACUAUUUUCCACGAUUGAGAAUCGUCAACAAAAACGUCAACAAACAAUAACGAUAGAUUGCGAUAUUCCAGAGCCAUCUCGACAAGAAGCAUUCGUCGAACACAAAAUAUACAUAAAAAAUUACUUCGCCCGAGGCGAAGAUUGCAAACUUGACAGAGACUUGACUUGAAUGG
rnacentral:misc_RNA from 1 species